AGUCCAGUGGAUUUCGUACGCAGAUGAUGCUAAUAUUCAGAGAAGUGGUUUAGGUCAAAGUAUUCGUUUGUCUCACUUUAGAAUGAUAACCCCUGAGAGUGAUAAGAUUGAGGAAAAGCUUUGUUUUUUUUUUUUAAAUCAGACGGACAAGUGAACUCUCCUUGUCGACUUAUUCAGGCUUAUUUGCUGUUGUAGUGGACUUUUUGGCCAGGGGGAGAAGGUGACUUGGAAGAGGCGGAGGUUUGUAUGUUCCUCACCAUGUUCAUUGUAAUGGCUGUGUGUAUUGCAGAUGUACUUAAACUUUAUACUGUACUGUAAUAUUUUGUGAAUGUAACAAAAUUGAACAAUCCUGUUUGAGUGUCUGUAAACAAUAAACAAGAUAA